CCUACGGGGGGCAGCAGUAGGGAAUCUUCCACAAUGGGCGAAAGCCUGAUGGAGCAACGCCGCGUGGGUGAAGAAGGUCUUCGGAUCGUAAAACCCUGUUGUUAGAGAAGAAAGUGCGUGAGAGUAACUGUUCACGUUUCGACGGUAUCUAACCAGAAAGGCACGGCUAACUACGUGCCAGGAGCCGCGGUAAUACGUAGGGGGCAAGCGUUAUCCGGAUUUAUUGGGCGUAAAGGGAACGCAGGCGGUUUGUUAAGUCUGAUGUGAAAGCUUUCGGCUUAACCGGAGUAGUGCAUUGGAAACUGGGAGACUUGAGUGCAGUAGAGGUGAGCGGAAUUCGUUGUGUAGCGGUGAAAUGCGUAGAUAUAAGGAAGAACACCAGUGGCGAAGGCGGCUCUCUGGACUGUAACUGACACUGAGGCUCGAAAGCGUGGGUAGCAAACAGGAUUAGAUACCCGUGUAGUC
rnacentral:rRNA from 1 species